rnacentral:rRNA from 1 species
AACGAACGCUGGCGGCAUGCCUAACACAUGCAAGUCGAACGAGACCUUCGGGUCUAGUGGCGCACGGGUGCGUACCGCGUGGGAACCUGCCCUUAGGUUCGGAAUACCUCCCCGAAAGGGGUGCUAAUACCGGAUAAUGUCUUCGGGCCAAAGAUUUAUCGCCUUUGGAUGGGCCCGCGUUGGAUUAGCUAGUUGGUAGGGGAAAAGCCUACCAAGGCGACGAUCCAGAGCUGGUCUGAGAGGAUGAUCAGCCACACUGGGACUGAGACACGGACCAGACUGCUACGGGAGGCAGCAGUGGGGAGUAUUGGACAAUGGGCGAAAGUGUAAUCCAGCAAUGCCGCGGGAGUGAUGAAGGGCUUAGGGUUGUAAAGCUCUUUUACCCGGGAUGAUAAUGACAGUACCGGGAGAAUAAGCACCGGCUAACUCCGUG